GACGUAGGGCGCAAGCGUUGUCCGGAUUUAUUGGGCGGAAAGAGCUCGUAGGCGGCUUGUCGCGUCGACUGUGAAAACCUGCGGCUCAACCGUAUGGUCUGCAGUCGAUACGGGCAGGCUAGAGUUCGGUAGGGGAGACUGGAAUUCCUGGUGUAGCGGUGAAAUGCGCAGAUAUCAGGAGGAACACCGGUGGCGAAGGCGGGUCCCUGGACAACACCUGACACUGAGGCACGAAAGCUAGGGGAGCAAACAGG
rnacentral:rRNA from 1 species